rnacentral:rRNA from 1 species
AGAGUUUGAUCCUGGCUCAGGACGAACGCUGGCGGCGUGCCUAAUACAUGCAAGUAGAACGCUGACUACUUUAGCUUGCUAGAGUAGAAGGAGUUGCGAACGGGUGAGUAACGCGUAGGUAACCUGCCUACUAGCGGGGGAUAACUAUUGGAAACGAUAGCUAAUACCGCAUAACAGUGUUUAACACAUGUUAGAUGCUUGAAAGAUGCAAUUGCAUCACUAGUAGAUGGACCUGCGUUGUAUUAGCUAGUUGGUGGGGUAACGGCCCACCAAGGCGACGAUACAUAGCCGACCUGAGAGGGUGAUCGGCCACACUGGGACUGAGACACGGCCCAGACUCCUACGGGAGGCAGCAGUAGGGAAUCUUCGGCAAUGGGGGCAACCCUGACCGAGCAACGCCGCGUGAGUGAAGAAGGUUUUCGGAUCGUAAAGCUCCUGUUGUAAGAAAAGAACGUGUGUGAGAGUGGAAAGUUCACACAGUGACGGUAACUUACCAGAAAGGGACGGCUAAAUACGUGCCAGCAGCCGCGGUAAUACGUAGGUCCCGAGCGUUGUCCGGAUUUAUUGGGCGUAAAGCGAGCGCAGGCGGUUUAAUAAGUCUGAAGUUAAAGGCAGUGGCUUAACCAUUGUUCGCUUUGGAAACUGUUAGACUUGAGUGCAGAAGGGGAGAGUGGAAUUCCAUGUGUAGCGGUGAAAUGCGUAGAUAUAUGGAGGAACACCGGUGGCGAAAGCGGCUCUCUGGUCUGUAACUGACGCUGAGGCUCGAAAGCGUGGGGAGCAAACAGGAUUAGAUACCUUGGUAGUCC